rnacentral:rRNA from 1 species
AGAGUUUGAUCCUGGCUCAGGAUGAACGCUAGCUACAGGCUUAACACAUGCAAGUCGAGGGGAAACGAUAUUGGAAGCUUGCUUCCGAUAGGCGUCGACCGGCGCACGGGUGAGUAACGCGUAUCCAACCUGCCCAUCACUUGGGGAUAACCUUGCGAAAGUAAGACUAAUACCCAAUGACGUCUCUAGAGGACAUCUGAAAGAGAUUAAAGAUUUAUCGGUGAUGGAUGGGGAUGCGUCUGAUUAGCUUGUUGGCGGGGUAACGGCCCACCAAGGCGACGAUCAGUAGGGGUUCUGAGAGGAAGGUCCCCCACAUUGGAACUGAGACACGGUCCAAACUCCUACGGGAGGCAGCAGUGAGGAAUAUUGGUCAAUGGACGAGAGUCUGAACCAGCCAAGUAGCGUGCAGGAUGACGGCCCUAUGGGUUGUAAACUGCUUUUAUAAGGGAAUAAAGUGAGUCUCGUGAGACUUUUUGCAUGUACCUUAUGAAUAAGGACCGGCUAAUUCCGUGCCAGCAGCCGCGGUAAUACGGAAGGUCCGGGCGUUAUCCGGAUUUAUUGGGUUUAAAGGGAGCGUAGGCCGGAGAUUAAGCGUGUUGUGAAAUGUAGAUGCUCAACAUCUGAACUGCAGCGCGAACUGGUUUCCUUGAGUACGCACAAAGUGGGCGGAAUUCGUGGUGUAGCGGUGAAAUGCUUAGAUAUCACGAAGAACUCCGAUUGCGAAGGCAGCUCACUGGAGCGCAACUGACGCUGAAGCUCGAAGGUGCGGGUAUCGAACAGGAUUAGAUACCCUGGUAGUCCGCACGGUAAACGAUGGAUGCCCGCUGUUGGUCUGAAUAGGUCAGCGGCCAAGCGAAAGCAUUAAGCAUCCCACCUGGGGAGUACGCCGGCAACGGUGAAACUCAAAGGAAUUGACG